rnacentral:rRNA from 1 species
UUGGUUAAGUUAGAAAGGGCGCACGGUGGAUGCCUUGGCACUAGGAGCCGAAGAAGGACGGGACUAACACCGAUAUGCUUUGGGGAGCUGUACGUAAGCGUUGAUCCAGAGAUUUCCGAAUGGGGGAACCCACUAUCUUUAGUCGGAUAGUAUCCUUACGUGAAUACAUAGCGUGAGGAAGGCAGACCCAGGGAACUGAAACAUCUAAGUACCUGGAGGAAGAGAAAGAAAAAUCGAUUUCCUGAGUAGCGGCGAGCGAAACGGAAAGAGCCCAAACCAAGAAGCUUGCUUCUUGGGGUUGUAGGACACUCUAUACGGAGUUACAAAAGAAAGUUAUAAAUGAAGCGGUCUGGAAAGGCCCGCCAAAGACGGUAACAGCCCGGUAGUUGAAAUGGCUUUCCCUCCAGAGUGGAUCCUGAGUACGGCGGAACACGUGAAAUUCCGUCGGAAUCCGGGAGGACCAUCUCCCAAGGCUAAAUACUCCCUAGUGACCGAUAGUGAACCAGUACCGUGAGGGAAAGGUGAAAAGCACCCCGGAAGGGGAGUGAAACAGUUCCUGAAACCGUGUGCCUACAAGUAGUUAGAGCCCGUUAAUGGGUGAUAGCGUGCCUUUUGUAGAAUGAACCGGCGAGUUACGAUUUGUUGCAAGGUUAAGCGGAAAAAGCGGAGCCGUAGCGAAAGCGAGUCUGAAUAGGGCGCAUAAGUAACAGGUCGUAGACCCGAAACCAGGUGAUCUACCCAUGUCCAGGAUGAAGGUAAGGUAAUACUUACUGGAGGUCCGAACCCACGCACGUUGAAAAGUGCGGGGAUGAGGUGUGGGUAGCGGAGAAAUUCCAAUCGAACUUGGAGAUAGCUGGUUCUCUCCGAAAUAGCUUUAGGGCUAGCCUCGAGGUAAAGAGUCAUGGAGGUAGAGCACUGUUUGGACUAGGGGCCCUUCUCGGGUUACCGAAUUCAGAUAAACUCCGAAUGCCAUGUACUUAUACUCGGGAGUCAGACUGCGAGUGAUAAGAUCCGUAGUCGAAAGGGAAACAGCCCAGACCACCAGUUAAGGUCCCCAAAUAUAUGUUAAGUGGAAAAGGAUGUGGGGUUGCUUAGACAACCAGGAUGUUGGCUUAGAAGCAGCCACCAUUGAAAGAGUGCGUAAUAGCUCACUGGUCGAGUGACCCCGCGCCGAAAAUGUACCGGGGCUAAACAUAUUACCGAAACUGUGGAUGAACCUCUUUAGAGGUUCGUGGUAGGAGAGCGUUCUAAGGGCGGUGAAGUCAGACCGGAAGGACUGGUGGAGCGCUUAGAAGUGAGAAUGCCGGUAUGAGUAGCGAAAGAAGGGUGAGAAUCCCUUCCACCGAAUAUCUAAGGUUUCCUGAGGAAGGCUCGUCCGCUCAGGGUUAGUCGGGACCUAAGCCGAGGCCGAUAGGCGUAGGCGAUGGACAACAGGUAGAGAUUCCUGUACCAGUGCUAAUUGUUUAACCGAUGGGGUGACACAGAAGGAUAGGGAAUCGCACGAAUGGAAAUGUGCGUCCAAGCAGU